rnacentral:lncRNA from 1 species
UGCCUUCAUACCAUGUUCGCCGCUCACACCCUCUCAUCUUCUCGAUGGCUUGAAAUCCUCCGCAAAUCUCCUCCCCUCCAUCCUCUCUGCCACUCCAAUAUCCUCCAUCGAUCGAUUUGCUUUUCAAGACUGUCAAUCGCCGCUGCACUCGCCUCACACCCUCUCAGUCUCUUUGCAAGUAGGUCUCCUUCUCAUGCAUACUAUUGUCAUCCC